rnacentral:rRNA from 1 species
UACGGGGGGUGCGAGCGUUGUCCGGAAUCACUGGGCGUAAAGGGCGCGUAGGUGGUCUGAUAAGGGUGUGGUGAAAGUCCGGGGCUCAACCCCGGAUCUGCCGUGCCGACUGUCAGACUCGAGGACUGUAGAGGCAGGCGGAAUUCCGGGUGUAGAGGUGGAAUGCGUAGAGAUCCGGAGGAAGACCGGUGGCGAAGGCGGCCUGCUGGGCAGUUUCUGACACUGAGGCGCGACAGCGUGGGGAGCAAACAGG